GGUAGUGUAGCACAGUGGUAGUGCAUCAGACUGAUUUUCUGGCGACGCGGGUUCAAUUUUUCUAUUU